GGCAUUAGUCAGUUGAAAUUGAUUAAAAUGUAGGAAGUGGGACCAGACCUGGUUGAAUUUGCCUCUACCAUCUUUCAGUCUUGCAAUGAAGUCCUCAAAGGAGGCUGUGUCUGUCAUCAGCUUUAGCUAGUCUGUAAAACCAGGCCUUACUUGGCUUUUCCAGUGUCUUAAGAUGAUUCUUCCAGUUGAGAUAAACCCAGCUAGUGCCAGGGCAGACUUUGCUUUAGACAACCCUGGAGGAGAAACAGAAUAGAG